AGGGAUGUAGCUCAGUGGUAGAGUGCUUACCUUGAAUGUGUGAGGCCCUGGGUUCCAUCCCCAGGACCCCUC
rnacentral:tRNA from 1 species